GUGAUCUAUCCAUGAGCAGGUUGAAAGUGACGUAACAGUUACCGGAGGACCGAACCCACUGUCUUUGAAAAGCCAGGGGAUGACUUGUGGAUAGGGGUGAAAGGCUAAUCAAACUCGGUGAUAGCUGGUUCUCCCCGAAAGCUAUUUAGGUAGCGCCUCGGACGAAUACCAUUGGGGGUAGAGCACUGUUAAGGCUAGGG
rnacentral:rRNA from 1 species